UCGGAGAUAUUUCUGAGGAAGUGCACUGGGACUUUGAAUCAAUAAUGUCAGCUAUGUUUUGUCUUCUUAGGAACAGUCUGUUUGCAGAAGAGGCUACAGAACAAGAUAUGUAGCAAAGUCCACCCAAGAUCAAUAUGAAUUUGUCAUCAGUUACAAAAAACAUUGGAUGAAGCUUUAAAAAUUAAGAAGGAAAUAAAACUGACUCAGAGAGCAAUUGGAACAUUUUUUAUUGCUGGACUUAAAAAAGAGACUUUUUAAAAUACUAAAGAAAUUUGAAAGAAGGAUCAAUAGUCACCUGAAUGGAUUAAAAGGCAGUUUUUUGACUUUUUGAUGACAUUUGGAUUGGAGAAUACAUUACUUAUUGGAUUUGCCUACAGUUAACAGAUCCUCAGGAGUAAGUUCGGCCUGUAACAAACCACAAGAUAUCCAACCACUACUCAAAGCCAGCAUUGCCACAAUAAAGAAAAUAACAACAAACUUCAGUGUACUGGAUUAUAAUUCCCAUACUCCUCAGCCAGCAUGGCUAUUGGUCUUCAAUCAAACCACAUGCUUCAAGAUGUACAGUUUGGAGGGCAACCAGUUGGGGAGAGGGAGAUGCAAGUGAAACAGGACUCUGAAGAUUGGACAUUAUCAAACACAAACCCUGCUGGCUUUGAAACAUCAUGUGGCAAGUGGAGCUUUCUCCAAUUGAUCAUCCUGAAGUACCAGCAAGCACAAGAAGACCGACUCUGCUUUUGUUCAAAUAAAUUGCAAUGGAGUCAAAAAA